UAAGGAAUAUUGGACAAUGGACGCAAGUCUGAUCCAGCCAUGCCGCGUGAAGGAUGACUGCCCUCUGGGUUGUAAACUUCUUUUAUAGGGGAAGAAAGUUAUUUUUUAGGAUAUUUGGCGGUACCCUAUGAAUAAGCACCGGCUAACUCCGUGCCAGCAGCCGCGGUAAUACGGAGGGUGCAAGCGUUAUCCGGAUUCACUGGGUUUAAAGGGUGCGUAGGCGGGUAUGUAAGUCAGUGGUGAAAUACCGGAGCUUAACUUCGGAACUGCCAUUGAUACUAUAUAUCUUGAAUAUUGUGGAGGUAAGCGGAAUAUGUCAUGUAGCGGUGAAAUGCUUAGAGAUGACAUAGAACACCGAUUGCGAAGGCAGCUUGCUACGCAAAUAUUGACGCUGAGGCACGAAAGCGUGGGGAUCAAAACAGGAUUAGAUACCCUGGUAGUCCACGCCCUAAAACGAUGAUUACUCGACAUUAGCGAUACACAGUUAGUGUCUGAGCGAAAGCAUUAAGUAAUCCACCUGGGAAGUACGACCGCAAGGUUGAAAACUUAAAGGAAUUGACGGGGUCAUAGCUGUUUCCU
rnacentral:rRNA from 1 species